GCUAAUACCGCAUACGUCUUACGGGAGAAAGCAGGGGACCUUCGGGCCUUGCGCUAUCAGAUGAGCCUAGGUCGGAUUAGCUAGUUGGUGAGGUAAUGGCUCACCAAGGCGACGAUCCGUAACUGGUCUGAGAGGAUGAUCAGUCACACUGGAACUGAGACACGGUCCAGACUCCUACGGGAGGCAGCAGUGGGGAAUAUUGGACAAUGGGCGAAAGCCUGAUCCAGCCAUGCCGCGUGUGUGAAGAAGGUCUUCGGAUUGUAAAGCACUUUAAGUUGGGAGGAAGGGCAGUAACUAUAAUACGUUGCCGUCUUGACGUUACCGACAGAAUAAGCACCGGCUAA
rnacentral:rRNA from 1 species